rnacentral:lncRNA from 1 species
UGAGAGCUCUCUGAGAGGGCUGUGUGUCUUGGGAAUGAGAGAGUUAUGAGUUUUUCAGUGCCUUCUCUAGCUUUCUGGAAGUUGUUAUGAGUGGACCUGACUACCUAGAGAGAGUAAUACAGAAGCUCCCUGCUGAUCACAGCUACCUCAUUACCAUGUUCCUCCAAGAUGGCCGCCCCUGAGGAGAAUCAUCAACUGGGCUUUACGGAAGAGAGAAAUCCAAACGACCAUCAGCAACAAAUGAAAGACUGAAGUUGAAAGGAAAUCCAUAAUUUUUGAAUGCUGGCUGAGGUCUGUGACCUCUGACUGAAUGGUUUCCAAGCUCCGAAUUCCUAGUUGCUGAAGAAGGGAAAGGCUCUCUGAUUUACGUGUAAGCAAAACAAUCUAAACAGUAGGAUAAAAUCAUGUUGGAAUGGAGUUCUGUGUGGAUGCUCCUUUGAACCAAAUCAGUUCCACAACUGACCCUGUCAGGGACAUAUAAAUUUAGCAUUUUGGUGUGGAUACAGAAGACGAGAUUAACACAGAUCAAGUAACAUGGAAAUAAAAAAGGAGACAAUGCUGGAUGAUACAGGGGCAGCAACAAGAGGAGAAAACCCAAGCAUUGGCAAAUGCCUCAUUAUCCAAAGAACACUGAGGUGUGCAGCAAAACUGUGUUGAAUGAACUGUAGAUGGAAAUUCUCUCCUUCCCACCGAGGAGCCGCUGCAGGUUGCAGACUCCCAGAAUGCCACACUGAGAAGAGGAGGGCUAAAAUUCUAGAGCAGAAUCCCUGGGGCAGCCCCUGCUGAAGAAGGGUGCAUCUGUUGAGAAUCUCAUCACCGCCCCCACCCCGCCCAGCCUUCAAUUUAGAGGAAUUUCUAGUUCACGCAGAAUGAAGACAAGAUCACAUAAGGGCCUCAGAGUAUGUCAGCUGGGGUCAGACGGGAACAGGAGUCUGGCUCAACACACAUUUAUUGCACUCCUGCUUCAUGCCAAGAAAUGCACCAAAAUCUGGGACUGUGUAACACAGCAAAGGAAAAGACUCAUCUCCAGGAAGCCCCCUUGUCUAGGAAGAGAAAUUGAAUAUCAGCAUAAGGUGGUGAAAAGCUAUGAAGGAGAUGAGUGCCACGAGUCCAUGGAGGAAGGAUUCUAGCCUGGACAGGUUUGUCUAUCCUAUAUUCUCCUGCCCUUCCAGAUGAACUAA